UCCAGCCUCCCCGGCGUCAGCCGAUCCUCCGGUCCGCCAUAACAGCCAGCUGCUGAUGCCCGUCCGGGGCGCACAUCAACGCAUUAAUAUAAUAUAUA